rnacentral:piRNA from 2 species
UACCACCUUGAGAAUAUGUCUUCAGUUCC